UUUCCUAACUAUUUUCCAGUUUAUCAGAUAACCAUGAAUCUCUCAAAACAAUCCCUUUCUUUUCUCUGUCCUUCUGUUCAUGUGUUGUGUUUAAUCAUCUUAAUUUUCCCUUUAAUAUGCUGUUUUCUUCCCCCAAAUGUUUGGCUUCUAGUCUGUAUUCUCUCAUUCUCUAUAUUCCCGUCUUCUUCCCAGCUUUUAUGGGAUGAAUUCUGCUUUUCUUUCUGCAUUACCAUGAUGUCUGCUACUCUUUCUUUCCUCACUUAUUUCUCUUUUAUUACAUUAAUUCUAAUAUGAAUUUUUCUGACAUACCUCUCACCAGGCUGGUAAAAGUCUCUUCACUGAGACUUGUACUCUUGUUUUGAUGCUAUAGGUAAAUACAGUGUUUAAUAUUCUUUCCCUAAAAGGAAAAUGUAGAAAACCACGCGAUUUUACACAAAUUCAUUCAAAUAAUUAUUAAACUAUCAAGAAAUAAAUUGUAUACAGACUGGUGGCUUGACGCUUCUUAAGCUAGAUAUGAUUAGAUAUUCAAUUCUUGACAUUUUCUUGAUUAGUUUUCCAAGAAAAAAAAAAUUAACUCCCACUACAUUUGUGUAUAUCAUAUCAUAGCUAUUUAAAUGUUACUACUCUUAUGAUUUUGCAAGCUUAUACCAAGAGUAAAGCUGGAAUUACCCCAGUAAUGAUUUGGUAAAGACUCUGGAGGCAGCUCAGUUAUCCAAAGGCAUGCAAUGACAAUUGUGGAUAUGCCAUGGUAUCCUGCCAACACCUCACUUGUUGAUUCAGAAAGCUGCAGGUCUCAGACCACCCAGGACACUCCAGGUAACAUUAUGAAACAGUGAUGUCUAGUAUAGGGAGCUGAAUUUUACUCUGUAGCUUGGAUAUUAACUUGUAUUAAUGUUGCAUUAAUUUGGAGCUGAAUCUCCUUCUUAGUGUAACUUUCCACAUUUUUUCAGUAUUACAGUUUUCUCUGGUUCUCUUUCAUAUGGGACAUAAGACAGGGAUACUAGUGCUAUCUGGCUACUAGUGACUACCUGGUGUUCACAAUUUUAGUUACUUUAACUUGUGCUGUGUGGAAAUUCCAGAUUUCCUAUUUAACAUUUGCAUUUAUUAUGGCUGAACUGGCAAAAGAAUUCAAAGCCUCUGGAAGGUAAAAAAUAAUGACUACGUAUUAUGCUCCAGAUACAUGUACAUAUGUGUGCAUGCAUCUAGUUUUAUAAUCAAAGGGAAUUAAUGAUUCAAUGUGGAUAGCUGAGUUGCUCUUUAUAAUUGAAUAUUUUAUUCACAGUUGAGGGAGUAAUAAUUUUGAAGUUUUAAACUGCUACAUAUACAUAAAAAUCUCAAGAAUAAUACUUGUUAAAGUAGUAUAUGGGUUUAUUCACCUCUAUUCUUUACUCCCAGAAGAAGGCAGAGUUCAUGUAGAGUAAAUCAGGGCAGUGGCAGUGAGGAGGACCAAAGCAAGAUUACACCAUUUAAAUGUGGAACAGGUUUUAGGGCAUAUAAUAUAAAAAUACAGAGGUGACAUCUGCAGUUACCUGUUGAUGCUCGCUAGGGCAUGUCUAGUUUCUGUUCCUCCACAUAGCUGGUUCUCUGAUAUCCUUGGUGAGAACACUAUAGUUCUUACAUUAUCAGUUUAUGUAGUUUCCUUAAAUUUGUAAAUCUAUGUCCUGUCCAUACAUGAAACAGAAAAGCGCUAGGGUGUGCUGUCAGGCUAAAUGCAAAAAUGUUUCUGUAUUCUGUGGUCUAGGUGUGGCCAAAACAGCCUAAAGCAAAUGGUCCCAAAGUGUCUCCUCUGCAGAAUAAUACAUUUGGCGCCUAACUUAAUCUUAUCUGAUUGUGACACGUUUCAUGCAGUCCCUGCCCAGCACAGAGAGUGAGUGAAUUUUUGCCUGGCUCAUGACAUGAUUUAUUUAUUUUUCCGGUGUUAUUUCUAGGUUAAGCCUUUUUUGUGAAUCUCUUCAAUAUGUGGCAGUUCAUAUGAAGGGUCAAACCGGCUUGUCAUAGAAGUCCACUGCCCUGAAAAUGUGGUUUCAAAAAAUCACAAAUCAAAUGGUGAAGACUUAAUUUAUGCCUGAAUCCACAGGUAAAAACAAAACAAAACAAAAAAACCCCAAACUAAAGCCAAAAAAACCAAAACCAAACAAAAAACUCCCAAAAAACAAAACAAAACAAAACAAUGAGAAUUAUUCUAAAAAAUAGAAAGCUCUCAUUGAUUUCUUUGGUUCAGAAGAGAGGAUAAGCUCAGUUUCUCUUUGCUAGUGGGACACUCAAUGUUCUUCAAUCAUGCUGCUAAAAAGACGAGUGCUCUGUUGUUUGCUGAAACUGGCUAUUAUUCAGCAGAACAGAGCUAAAACCCUUAAAUUCCCUGCAAGUACUCCUCAGUCAAAGCUUUACCUCAGAUCACUGGCAAUGGAUUUAAGGGAGAAAAAAAAAUUAAAAAUAAAAGAUAGCAUAAAAUCACCACCAAAUCUGCUGUCAGAUUAUUUUAAGAAGUCAGUUCCAGUCAGUUAAACUGACUCAAAAAUAUGCUGGUAAAAAAACAGUAUAGUGGAAAUGAACUUAGUGAACUCAAAAGAAAAACAAUAGCAUCAGACAAUGUAGACUGCUUCCCUGAGCUUCCUGUCAUACAGUUAGUCCCUAAAUCCCAACAGAGCCAGUGAAGGCAAACAACAUUUUAUAAAGCAAACACAGAAGUCUGGGUCUUUCCUGUUUUUCAUAAUGAGGUCACCUGAAAAAUGAGCUAGAUAUAUCUCAGGUAUUUGUUUUCUGUUGUCUCCAGCAGCUGUUAUGCAGAGAAGGGAAGAGUUUUCUUUCCUGUUAUUUGGUUUUUUAACAGAUCCUGUGCAUGUCAACACUGAAGAAAGAAAGCAGGCUUGAAAAAACAAGCAUGGGCUAUGCAAACAAUUUCUCCUCAUACAGGUCAUUGAUGCCAUGACUCAGAAGAGGAAAAUGGAACUCAGGAUGCCAGGCAAACAUUAAAAUUACUCACAAAUGACUUGUAAAUUACUCUGUUAAAGAGGUAACAACAACUUUGUAUGAGAUGUUUGAAUAGCAGAAUAUUAUUCAGGAACUGCUUGCUAUUGAGUGUUGAAACUAUAAUAACAUAACCUCAUGUAUUGUUCAAAAGCAAAGGGAAGUCUCAACAAAGUUCUAUAUGAUUCUUACAAUGAAAUAGUAAGUUAAAUAACAAAUUCUCAAAGUAUCAUUUAGAAAAAGUUCUAACUCAGGCAAAAUGUACACUGGGUAAAUUUAUACUUGACAGGCACUAGAAUUUGUCAAUCUCUCACUGAGAAAAAAUUCUUAUUUCUAUCCAUGUGAGAUAUAUGUUUCACAAGUAAUAUUGAUCCAGGCAGCAUAUAGUCACUUGAAUUGGGACACAUUAUCUAGAAGUAACUAUAAAGUGGCUGUUAAAAUAGCCCAGUCAUGAUGGCGGUACAUAAAAAAUAGGAGAAAACAGCUACAGACCUAACAUAAAACUUUAGAGAGGCAAAAGAGAAAUCUAGUUAUUAACAAUUAUCUUAACAGCAGCUUUGCACCAGUAUAAUCAUUGAAUUCAGUGUGGCUGCUUCUUUUGUUCAUCCUUGCCAGCCGGGGAAGAGCAGAGCCUACAGCAUCUCCCUGAACAAGUUAGCACUCUGUGCGAUAAAGGGAAAAAAAUACCCAAAGAAACAAUUGCCACACAUUUUAAAGAAGAAAAAUGAGAGGACUUUAAGCGUUACACUUCGUAUAUCACAUAAAUUAUCCUCUAUUCUUUAAACAAACUGUGCACUGUAAUUUAAAGCCAACAUGCAGUCACCUAUUUUCCACUGCUGCUGAACUGGAUUACCACCUGCCUUGACUCCAUCCUUUGGAAGGCUGCCAGCAUUGUUACAAUUUAAUGCUAUAUCCCACUGUGUCAGGAAAGACAUGCCUCCCCAAUCUUGCUGUCAAACUAGUGCUUGUCAACAUCCCUUAAUUAUUGCUAUUAUUAGGAAUGAAGGUUAAAUACAUGUUCUUUGUGAAUGGUAAUUUCUAUUGUCUGGUUUAGUUUUAUUAGGUUCAGUUGUGCUACUAUGAAAUAAAGCUUUAAUUGAAAGAUGA